AUGAAAGAAGUGUCUGGUAAGAAGAAGAAAGUUGUAGCAACCAGUGAUAAGUUUGAAGGAAAUAAGAAAACAACUCCUAAAAGAAAAAUUGCUCCUAUGGUGGGAGAUGUUGAAGAAGAUGUGGAAGAUAAUAUGGAUAAUAUUAAGGAACCCCCUCUGAAGAAGAAUAAUAAAUUUUUUGGUGAAAAGAAGUUUCCCACAAAUGUCCAUAUUUCUCCCUUGGACAACGUUUACAAGUCAUUACAGGAAGUUAUUCUUACCUCCACAGCCAAAAAGACCAAGGUGGAUGACUUGAUCAAAAUGAUGAGUCCCAAAGGAGCUGAAGCAUCCACAUUUGAUUAG